rnacentral:lncRNA from 1 species
ACUACUCCAACCACAUCUAUAGAGAGCGUUGCAGGGAGAUAUGGAUGCAAAACUACGACAAGAUUGAUGCAAAUUGUACAUAGGAAUCACAAACGUGUAGAUAAUAUAAAAUUCUAUUAUGCUGAACAGUUCUUGAAAACAUUCUUUCAUCAAAAGUCUGGUCCAUACAAAUUGAGGAGCAGAUAGUGGAACUUCUAUGAAAGCAGGUUCCAAGAUAAGUGGGGUUUCAAAAUGUAGAAGUAUAUUGUUACCAGAAGGCAAUAAUCUAAAGAUUGAUUUUAUUAGUCACCUAAAUGCCAGACAAUGAGUGGCUUAAAAGCCCCAGAAAAUGCAAAAUCGAGCUAAACUCUCGUGAAAGAAUAUAGUUAAUGCAAAUAUGUACCUAAUUGAGUGGCUUGUAAAAACAGUCUCAAGUUCAGUCUCAUUCUUUAGAUUAUUAACUUCUUGAGUUAGUAGCCAUAUGGAUAUCACUAAUAAAAAUGAACUGUGAGUUUGAGGCCCAAAUGACAGAACAAGUAUAACGACAAGAUGAAUAAAACAAUUUUAGUUGAACUAUAAUGCGAAGCCGGCUAUGGUAUACUAAUCAAUUUGCAGGUCUACACUCGUUGCAAACCCAGUGGGUAAAAGACAUUGUAUAGGGGAACCUCUUAACUGACCCACUGAGAUCAAGGCAAUGAGGAUGUCAGGGUGUCUCCUGCUCCUCUUGCCCCUGAACGACUGAAACAAACUAAACUAUGGUAACCCAUUAUUUACGUUUAAGUUACACAUGCCAGGAAAUUUUAAACUCUAGGUCUUCAUUAUGGGCACAUUCUUGACACGAGCCACUGAAGACAAGUGCCAAAGUGAUCAUGCUGCAACAUAUACAGCAUAAUAGUGUUUUCGUUGCUUAAUAUUAAUCAUCUUUGACUAGAAUGAGUUUAUUACAAAGAAAGAACAAAUCUAUAUUUGAAGUUUCUUUGACUGUCUCACUGGACAUAUGACUGCAUACGAUUCACAAUUGGCUAAAGAUGGAUUCGGAUUGACACUCUGUAUCACUAUUAGACAGUUGAAGCUGCCACAAGUCACUGAUUCCCCCUCCCAAACAUGAUUUCCAAUGAGGUUAACUCAAAAUAGAUUGUACGUAAUUAGCUAUCUAGAUCACCAAUUGCAGUGAAUCAGAAAAUUGUAAUCUCAUUAUUUGCGUACUCCCAUUCCUCUCACUCAAUUGCUUUAAGUAGAAAGACCGAGAAUAGGCUUUUUCCACCACCUUUUUUUCCCAUGGGAUAACUAAUAUUUUCUUUAAAUUUUCCCUUCAGUGAUGCCUAAUUUUGUUCCAUUUUUUAAUAUUUCAAAAAUCUUCACAUGAUUUGUCUGCUUCUACGUGCAUAUGUUUAUUUACAUGGGCAUUUAUUGAAUCAGAAUUAGAAUUACUGCUUUGUAUCAGCUCGGAAUAAACCUAACACCACCUAAUAGCACUAUAGCCAGCCAAAGUCAUGACCACAUAUUAAUAACGUCAACCAGCAGCCAUACUUUCUAGGUGACUUUGUUUACCAUAAAUUUGAAGCUUGAACCUUUAAAUCUUAGUCAAAUGAAAAUUCUGAUUCCAGCUACAAGUUGAAAAUAAACAAAUAAAGUAACUCCAAAAGAUCACUAAGAAACGAAAUAAAUCCUAAAUAAAUGUAUAAAAACCAUAAAUCAAGUUAUGAAUAAUAGAUAGCAUUGAGAGAACACAAGCGUACAAACAGGAACAACAGCCAUUCUCAUUUUUAUCAGAUUUUUCCUGCACCUCAAAAUACAAAAGAUUUUGCUCUAUUCUCCUCUGCAAGUGUCGAGUGAUUGUUAUUUUAAAAGACUAGAUAGCAUUCAUAUUUUGAAUCGGCAAUUAUAUUUAGUAGACAUUUUUUGUGAACAUAUCAAGCAAUCAGGAACUGCAUGAAAGAAAAACAGAAACCUUUAGUUAUUGAUCUGGCAAAACUAUUUCCAAGUUGGAUCACUCACCCGCAACAGCAAUAAAGGAAUCCACGAUCAUUAUCCUGCCUCUCACUAGUUCUGUAUACUGGGAAUAAAAUCUAGAAAAUAAAUAAUAAUUAUCAACAUGAAUUUCAGAGGAAAGAAAUACAUAGACGUCCAUAAAUAACAAGGACAAUGCACCUUAACAUACAGAUCAAGAAGUUGAAAAAACAUGAAAUCAGGUAAAUAAAUCAUUGUAAACAAACUAACAAAAGGAGGCCUACCUCCAAAAACAACUAUAUUCCACAUUGGACUUCUUUCUCCAAUGAUAAACUACGUCCCAGAAUAAUCAGCAUAAACGAUCCUGUCCACCACCAUAUCACAAUACAAAAUGAACAACGCCAUUGACGUUAACAUACCACCAGUCCGUUCUUCUAUAUAUUGAUUAAAUCAUAAAACUGAAACUGCGCCAGAGUAAUUCGAACUCUGCCACACCUCAAUUCCCUCAACAUCUUCUCGAGUCACAAAAAGACGAUCCCCACCUCCCUCAAUUUUCUUUAUGAUCCCUCUUUCAGCAUCCUCUACCUUAUCUACAUAAUUCCUUCGGCACAACCCUUCACUUAAAAUGCCCUCUCCAUCCGCAUUAUCCUCCACUCUUGACCACACCUCCAUCUCCCCUUCUCUCCCCACAAACACUUGCUUCCUGUAACAGUGUAUUAGCAAAUUUCCCCCAGCAAUGCCACUACUUAUUCCUACAUUCCUCAUACUCGGAUUCUUCUCUUUCAAAUAAACCCAUGGAUCAUCGCUCAAUUUGCGCAGCUCCGCAACUGCCAAAUCACCCGAUUUUGAGCAGAGUUUGAAUAAUGCCAGGUUAUCCAAGUCGACAUCCACGUCAGCAAAUGAGUCCCCAAACCUGCUGCUUCGGCCAGAGCCCGGCUCAUUUGUUUCCCAAACCACCUCCCCGGACCUUGGAUCCCACAAUCGUAUGUAACCGGAGUAUCCAAAUGCACCAGACGUGACAGAGCUCCCAACCAAAAUCCCCAUAUCCGGCACAUACGUCAGCUUUCCUGGGACAGCGUUUUUCGAGGAGGUUCCCGGCAUUCUCCCAAUCUCAGACGAAAUUUUCAAAGUCGACUUAUCUAUCAUCAGAACACAAUUCUCACCAUGCUUACAAUCAUAGGAUGCGAAGACGGAGUCCUCCGAGUCAGCUAUCGCGUGUACUCGGGCUUUAUAGAUACGAACAUCGGAAGGGUCUACCCAAUCCGCAGAGUCUACUCGGCACCCAUUGGUCAUAUUGUAAAAAUGUAAGCCCGACUCAUAUAAUGACCCAAUCGCAGCAAUCUCGGGUUGCACUCUCCGAAUAGAAGUGAUGAAGUCUAGGUGCGUUCGAACGGUGGCUGUGUGGCUGAGAUUCCAGUCAUAGACGGAGAUCUGGCCGCCAUGGGCGACCCAUAGGGACCCGUCGGAGUCAAUAGCAUUAAAGGCAGAAACAAUUCCAUCUGAAGAUGGCUUGAGAGUGGUUAAGAGCGAAGCAUCUAUCCCAUUGAGUCGACACGGCGCAAGUGCCAUUCGGAGCUGCGACUCAAUACCAUAAUAUAAAGCCUCAUCAAUAAGCUCCUGAUUAGAGAAGCGUUUGGCGGUGGAAGGAAGGCGGUUGGACCGGAGAAGAGAGAGGAGGACAGAGAAGAUCUCCGGGUCCCGGUCUAUGAACACCGAGUCCUGAUUCGGUCGGUUUGAAAGAGCAGAUAAUAGGGAAUCCGGGCCGCCAGACCGGAGGGUGGAGACAGUAGUCUCGAAAAGCUUGCCCCCGACGUUGAGCUUGAUGCGGUCGCCACCGCCGGGUUGCGUAGCGAAAGUAUUGUUGGGAAUUCCGUCCUCCAUGUACAGUUCUUACUGGGAGCUUAUCGCUUGGGAUCAGUUCGGGAUUUGGAAGUUGGGAAAGGCGUCGCUAAAAAUGAUAAUUUGAGGAUUUUUAGACCAAUCAUACUAUAUGUCAAAAAC